GGAGAGUCAAAGGAUAUGGAAGACUGCAGUUCUGUGGAGGCAGCUCAGAGCUGGAAUUGCCUUCUCAGGGUCUGGGAAGGACCACAGAGAAAUUUUAUGAAUAAGAACCAGAAGCCAGUGCUAACAGGCCAGCGAUUCAAAACUAGGAAGAGGGAUGAAAAGGAGAAAUUUGAACCCACAGUCUUCAGGGAUACCAUUGUCCAAGGCCUCAAUGAAGCUGGGAAUGACCUGGAAGCUGCAGCCAAAUUCUUGGAUGCAACAGGCUCGAGGCUAGAUUACCGUCGUUAUGCUGACACACUCUUUGACAUACUGGUAGCUGGCAGCAUGUUGGCCCCUGGAGGGACACGCAUAGAUGACAAUGACAAGAGCAAAAUGACCACCCACUGUGUGUUUUCUGCAGAUGAAGAUCAUGAUGCCAUCCGAAACAAUGCUCAGGUCUUUAAUAAACUCAUCAGGAGAUAUAAAUAUUUGGAGAAGGCAUUUGAAGAGGAAAUCAAAAAGCUGCUGCUGUUCCUUAAAGCCUUUUCUGAAACAGAGCAGACAAAGUUGGCAAUGCUCACUGGGAUCCUGCUAGCCAAUGGAACACUUCCUGCCACUAUUUUAACAAGUCUUUUCACUGACAACAUAGUCAAAGAAGGAAUUGCAGCAUCUUUUGCAGUAAAGCUUUUUAAAGCAUGGAUGGCAGAGAAAGAUGCCAAUUCAGUUACCUCUGCUUUAAGAAAAGCCAACCUAGACAAGAGAUUGCUUGAACUAUUUCCAGCCAACCGGCAGACUGUGGAACACUUUGCCAAGUACUUCACUGAUGCAGGUCUAAAAGAGCUCUCGGACUUCCUCAGAGUCCAGCAGUCACUAGGAACUCGUAAAGAGCUUCAAAAAGAGUUACAAGAACGUCUCUCUCAGGAAUGCCCAAUUAAAGAGGUAGUGCUUUACGUGAAAGAGGAAAUGAAGAGAAAUGAUCUGCCAGAGCCUGCAGUGAUUGGACUCCUGUGGACCUGUAUAAUGAAUGCUGUUGAAUGGAACAAGAAAGAAGAACUGGUUGCUGAACAAGCACUUAAACAUCUAAAGGUGGUGGAGGCCAACUAGAAGAGAAGAUCUUUUCGACUUGCUGCUCACAGACAGGGUUGAAACUGUGAAGGUGAAAAGUAACUUGGAUGACAGUGAACAUGAAAUGAUAGACUUCAAAAUCCUAAGGGGAGGCAGGAAGGAGAGCAGCUGAAUAAAGACCCUGGACUUCAGAGAAGCAGACCCUAGCAUACCACAGGGAACUGAUGAGAAGGAUCUGCUGGCAGGCAAGUAUGCGUGGGUGGGGGGAAUCCAGGAGAACUUAGGAAUUUUAAGGAGGCCUUUUAAGGGUACAGGAGUAAGCUAUCCUAAUGCAGUGGAAGAAUGGGAAGUACAAGAGGCCAGCCUAGCUAGACAGCAAUCUCUUCAAUGAGUUAACUCAAAAAGGAAUCCCACAAAAAGUAGUAACUUGGUCAUUUUACUAGGGAAGAGUAUGAGAGUCUCAUACGGGCAUGCAGGGAGAAAAAUUAGUAAGCCAAGGCACAACUUGAGGUGUACCUGGCAUGGGACAUGAGGCCAAAAAACGGGAUUCCACAAGCAUAUCAACGGUAAGUGGAAGAUCAAAGAAACUGUUGGUCCCUUGAGGAAUGGAGAAGGCAAUCCAGUUACAGAUGAUACAGAAAAGGCUGAGGUAUUUAAUGCCUUUGUACUUUAGCCUUCACAAAUAGGGGCAUCUACCAGAUGACAAGAGCAAUUGGUAGCACAGAUGGGGAAAGAGACAAAGAGCCUAGAGUAGUGGCAGAACAGGUUGGGGAAGCUAGGUAAGCUAGAAGCUUUCUAAGUUAGCAGAGUCAGAUGGGAUGCACCCCAUGGUACCGAAGGAAUUGGCUGAGGUAAUUUCUGAACCAUUGGCUGUCCUUUUUGAGAACUUGUGGAGAUCAGGUGAAGUCCUGGAUGACUGAAAAAGGACAAAUAUAGUGCUUUUUUUUUUUUCCUUAAGAAAGAGAAGGAGGAUCCAAGGAAUUGCAGAUUAGUCAGCCUGACCGUACCUGAAAAGAUCAUGGAGCAGGAAUCCACUGUGAAGUACCUAGAGGUGAACAAGGUGAUCAGGAAAAGCCAGCAUGAAUUCACCAAAAGCAAGUCAUACCCGACCAACCUGAUUUCCUUGUACAAUAAAUGACAGGCUCUGCAGAUGGGGGAGGAGCAGUGAAUGUGAUAUACCUUGUCUUCAGCAAAGCUUUUGGUGCCAUCUCCCACAACUUUCUCGUUAACAAGCUAAUGAAAUACAGUACUUUCUUCUGCUCUCAAUAUGCACCCCUGCUUGCUGUGUUCAGCACUCAAGGCCAAUCAGAACUCAUUCUUCUCCAGAAGGUUCAGGAAUACUGUUAUGAC